UAUUUAAGAACCCUACAAAGUAAAAACCUGAAAUCCUUUAAACUGCAGAACUGGUAUAAAUGCUUUACUAAGUCGAAUUAAGACUACCACUUUCAUGGUAAUUCAGGGUCUAAUAAAUCUAACCAAACAAUCAACUAAACUUUUUCCAAGUUUUCAUACAAUAAUCUUUCACGACUAUACUAGCUGUAGAACACCUAGAAGCACGAGAUGAACCCGCCGCCGCUGUACUCUUCCACUUAGACUACGAAAUGAAGCACAAGAUGAACCUAAUUUCUCUCCUCAGACGUUUCUUCUUUUCAGCCAUAUCCCCCUAAUUUCAUUCAUGAAACCAUCAAUUGUUGAGGGAAAUCCUCAACAAAAACCCCCAAAUCGGCCUCCAGACAUACAUAAGUGAAUUUCCUGCUCUUAGCAAUUAUCCCAACCGACGCCCUAAAGGGAAAAGGUAGCAUACGAGCUUCUUCUUCAGCCGAU
rnacentral:lncRNA from 1 species